rnacentral:tRNA from 2 species
GCGGGGGUAGCAAAGCCUGGUCAAAUGCGCAAGGUUGAGGGCCUUGUCCCUUAGUGGGUUCGCGUGUUCGAAUCACGUCCCCCGCA